UACGGAGGAUGCGAGCGUUAUCCGGAUUUAUUGGGUUUAAAGGGUGCGUAGGCGGGAUGCCAAGUCAGCGGUCAAAUACGGGGGCUCAACCUGCGUCCGCCGUUGAAACUGGCGUUCUUGAGUGGGCGAGAAGUACGCGGAAUGCGUGGUGUAGCGGUGAAAUGCAUAGAUAUCACGCAGAACCCCGGUUGCGAAGGCAGCGUACCGGCGCCCAACUGACGCUGAAGCACGAAAGCGUGGGUAUCGAACAGG
rnacentral:rRNA from 1 species